rnacentral:lncRNA from 1 species
UUGUAACUACAGCGUUUCCCUCUUAAUAGAUCCUCAAUAAGCAGUCAAUGAGUGACUCACGGAGCAGGGUGUCCACCUCAUCAGAACACCUGAUUGUGAGUGGUGCAGCUUCAGUGUGCAGAAACAUAGCACGAGAGCACAAGAGCACGAGAGAGGUGGGAGUUGGUGUCUCCGUUCCAGGCCACUGUUCAUUCACCUUGGAUUCCUUAAGGAGAAGACCUAAGAUUCUUGAGGUUUGGGCAUCCUGGCUAUCUGGCUCAAGCUAUAAACUCUGGAGACAACGAAGGGCAAGGGGAAUGGGACAUGAAGGGAAAAGUUUUCCACUUGUUAAUUAACUCCCUUAGAUUAGGGAGUUGCAGGGCCUGCAAGAAAGGCAGAACCAGCCAUCUGA